GCCAGGGGGUUCCUGGUGCUGCUCCUGGCCCGUGGGAGAGCUGCCCGUGGUCGGGGUGCCUUGGGAAGGCUCAGGGCACGCAGCAGGCGGGGCGGACACACAGACAGCCCAGGACGGACACGAGCGCUGCUCGCUCCGCUCCCAGCCAUGCGCAGCGGCUCCUGCAAGUGUGUAAUUUCACCACAGUGCCUAAACGAGGGACAGAAGUAAAUUGACCUUUUCACCCGUUUUCCUACCAGGGGGAUUAUAGCCUGUUUCCUGUUAAAUCUCUCCAAGAACCGGCUCCAUCCUACUCAUGGGGUGGGGUGGGGAGGGGGGGACAGACACCCACCCAAAAUGGGGGCUUUAAUUUCCCUCCUCAUCCCCCUGCACCGUGUUUUUUCCACCCCAUCCCAUCGCUCCACCACCUCUCAUCUCAUUAAAGUCUUCGGGGUGAUUUCACCAACCCCGGGCAAAACCAACGUGGAAAAAAUUGCUGGGAGGAAGGAACCGAAGGCGGAGAGUGAUAAAUAUUGAAAGGGUGGGAUUUCGAUGUAGGCUGCAACAGCUGUGCCGGUUACAGUGUCACACUAUCUCUCCACAGGUUUACUGACCCAUUUCCAUUCACACGGCUGCCAGUAUCUUAGCAACUGCAACAGUCCCCCAAGAACAGGCAUAUUGCCUGCUAUUAGUGACUGCUGCAACUGUGUCAAGGUUAGCUCUCUCCCUCCAAGCCCUGCCGGGUUUGUUUUUUGCCCCAAGCCAGCACAGUCUGUUCGGUGACACGUCCCCCGGAGCCGUCCUGGCUGUUGGGUGUUCGUCUCUGCCAUGGACAGCGCCGGCGGGGCUGGAGCUGUUGGUGGGAUGGUGGUUCUGGGUUGGGCGCUGGAUGGGAUGAGGGUUUAGCUGAUGGGAUGGUUCAGGGUGUGGGUUUGGGUGGUGGGAUGGAGCAGGAGGCAGGGAAGGUGCCCUGGGGGAUGAUGCAGGGCGUUGGUGAUGGGGUGGAGUGCAAAAUGUGUCCCCAAAAGUAUGACUAUUGCCAUCUAGUUGGGUGUCACUGUCAGCCACGUACAACUCUGAGCCCUGAGAACCUGGAGGGGGCUGGGAGCUGUGCUGAUCCCACUUGGGUGCUGGGUGUUCAUCCUUUCCAUGAAAAAUGUCAGCAGGGCUGGAGUGGUUGGUGGGAUGGUGCUGAAUGGGUGUGGAGCUGUGUGGUGGAUGGUGCUGGAUGGGUGUGGAGCUGUGUGGUGGAUGGUGCAGGAUGCAGGAUUAGGUGGUGGGAUGAACAGGGAUGCAGGGUUGAGCAGUGCAGUGGAGUGGGAUGCGCUUGGCUGGUGGGAUGGAUGAGGAUGAGCUGCUGGGUGGUGGGAUGGAGCAGGAGGUAGGGCUGGGAGCUGCUCCAGGGUGUUCAGGAUGCUGUGGGGUAGGUAAUACAACCCCAGAGCAGGAGUGCUGCCAUCCAGGUGGGUGUCGGCACCAUCCCAGCCUCACCUGGCAGGUCACCUGGACUGGGGCCUGCACUGAGGCCCCUUGGGUGUCACAAGGUGGAUUGGCCUCAUCCUGUGCCCUCAGGGGCUCAGCACUGGGCGGGCAUGAGCAGGGGAUGGCGCGUCUCCCUGGGGUCCAUGGUGGCACCAGGGGCUUGGAGGACACGGCAGCUUGUGGUGCCACCACACACCAGGCUGGGACAGCAGUGCCACGUGGGUGACAUCCGCUGUCACCAUCGCUGUUCCCACAGCACCUGGCCCUGAGGGGAGGAGCAAGUGAGAGAAGGGACUCGUGGUCCCUCGGUGUCCCCAAAAACUGUGCGAGACUGGGGUGACUGAACCCACACAGCAGGGAGAAGGCGAGCAGCUGGUGCAUCCCCAAACACCCCACGCAGGGAGGGAAACUGAGGCAUGGGGCCCCUACCCCGGCAGGCAGAGCCCCCCUCAGGCAGCUCCGGGGCUGGGGAGCAGCGGGGUGGCUGCUGGGGUGGGCAGGGUGAGCCCCAGCUCCCCCAUCCCCGGCACGGUCCCCGGCAGCGCCGCAGACAGCAGGCUCCACAGCGGCACGGCCGCGGGGACGGCUGCGAGGGAAGCCACAAAAAUGAUUUAAGGGGCUGGCGG
rnacentral:lncRNA from 1 species